rnacentral:rRNA from 1 species
AGCGAACGCUGGCGGCAGGCCUAACACAUGCAAGUCGAACGAACUCUUCGGAGUUAGUGGCGGACGGGUGAGUAACACGUGGGAACGUGCCUUUAGGUUCGGAAUAACUCAGGGAAACUUGUGCUAAUACCGAAUGUGCCCUUCGGGGGAAAGGAUUUAUCGCCUUUAGAGCGGCCCGCGUCUGAUUAGCUAGUUGGUGAGGUAAAGGCUCACCAAGGCGACGAUCAGUAG